GCUCGAGUGGCGAACGGGUGAGUAACACGUGAGUAACCUGCCCUUGACUUUGGGAUAACUUCAGGAAACUGGGGCUAAUACCGGAUAGGAGCUCCUGCUGCAUGGUGGGGGUUGAAAAGUUUCGGCGGUUGGGGAUGGACUCGCGGCUUAUCAGCUUGUUGGUGGGGUAGUGGCUUACCAAGGCUUUGACGGGUAGCCGGCCUGAGAGGGUGACCGGCCACAUUGGGACUGAGAUACGGCCCAG
rnacentral:rRNA from 1 species